rnacentral:rRNA from 1 species
AGUGAACGCUGGCGGCGUGCCUAACACAUGCAAGUCGAACGGGCUAGUGCUUCGCACUAGUCUCUUUCUGGGGUUGUUACUCUAAGACUGCCUGCUAAAAUUUUUAUCGUAAAGCAGGGGUUUUAGGAGAAUUUCCCCUAAAGGGGCCAGUGCGGAGCACUGGCCAGUGGCGAACGGGUGAGUAACACGUGGGUAAUCUACCCUCGAGUGGGGAAUAAGCUUCCGAAAGGAGGUCUAAUGCCGCAUAACGUUUCAUAACGAUGGUUAUGAAACCAAAGCCCAAAAGGCGCUCGAGGAGGAGCCUGCGUCCUAUCAGCUUGUUGGCAGGGUAAUGGCCUACCAAGGCUAUGACGGGUAGCCGGCCUGAGAGGGUGUCCGGGCCACACUGGAACUGAGACACGGUCCAGACUCCUACGGGAGGCAGCAGUGGGGAAUUUUGCGCAAUGGGGGAAACCCUGACGCAGCGACGCCGCGUGGAGGAUGACGGCCUCGGUUGGUAACGUACCGUACGUCGUAGAAGGACGGAAAUACCGGACCG